CCCUUAGAUGUUCUGGGCCGCACGCGUGCUACACUGAGUAAAUCAAUGGGUAAGGGAACACGAAAGUGCAACCUAAUCUUGAAAUUUGCUCGUGAUGGGGAUCGACGGUUGCAAUUUUCCGUCGUGAACGAGGAAUACCUUGUAGGCGCGUGUCAUCAUCACGCGCCGAAUACGUCCCUGCCCUUUGUACACACCGCCCGUCGCUCCUACCGAUUGGGUGUGCUGGUGAAAUGUUCGGAUCGGCCGUUUGUCGCGGUUUCCGCGUCAUGUGGCUGAGAAGUUCAUUAAACCCCCCCACCUAGAGGAAGGAGAAGUCGUAACA
rnacentral:rRNA from 1 species